UUCCGGUCUCCCGACCCUACCUAGCUUUUGGCCGUCGAAAUCCCGACCCUAAACUUUUUUAUUGGAUCAUGCUUGUAAGUGUUUCCACUAAGAGGAAAAAGUUUGUGGAAAAUUGAAAUUUGAGGCAAUAUUAAGGAAAUUUAUCUUUGGAUGUGGAAGCACUGACUAAACAAAAUGGCGUCCGGUUGUUAGGAAAAUUAAAAAAAAGUUAAAAAAAAAAGUUAAAACCGACCAAC